UACGUAGGGUGCAAGCGUUGUCCGGAAUUAUUGGGCGUAAAGAGCGCGUAGGCGGUCCGAUAAGUCGGCUGUGAAAGUCAAGGGCUCAACCCUUGAAAGCCGGCCGAUACUGUCGGACUAGAGUCCGGAAGAGGCAAGUGGAAUUCCCGGUGUAGCGGUGAAAUGCGCAGAUAUCGGGAGGAACACCUGUGGUGUAGACAGCUUACUGGACCACUUCUGACGCUGAGACACGAAAGCGUGGGUAGCAAACAGG
rnacentral:rRNA from 1 species